GUCCAGUUUUUUAGGCGGAUGUGUGAACGCAUUUAUGGCGAGCGGGAUCCUGUGCGGCGCUGGUUGUUGCUUCUGUUGCAGGCGAAACUGGAAGAAAGGGCUUAAUAACCUUGUCCAUGCUGUCCUCCCCCUCAUUGAAAAGAAUAUCGGAGGCGCGGAUGACGCUGAAAAAGGAGAACGCAUGAGUCCAGUGGAUGAGAAAUCAGAAGGAAGAAGCAGGGAUGGAGUAGAGAAGGAGUAGACGGUCAAUUUGUCGGAGCGGAGAGCAAAAGCGAUGUGACAUCUCCCCGAAUUCCAGCAAUAUCCUCAUUUCACAGUCUGGAGCCUGAAGGACGAACUCCAUCAUCUUCUGUCCUGUGAUGAAUCUCCAUUAUAAUUCCAGAUAUCCGGCACCAAUCGCAAAGACCAAACCCACCAAGAACCUGGAAAAUUGCUUCACAGCUCCAUGAUGACACCUUACCAUCCCCCUAUCUAGCACUUCAUACCUUCCCCGGUAUCUCCUCUCUAUCCAUUUCCCACUGCGUAUAACCGAUCAGUCAUACCGUUAUGACCACGCACUAUAACCCAUCAUGGCAUGGACUCCAGUAGACCUCUGAAGGUAUGCUCUGGUAUCUGCCACCAAGCGGUCAGUAGCAGAUCUUUUAAGUCCUGUAAGUUGUUUGAGAAACCAAGUAGACCAUUUCGUGGUUCCUCCAGCCUGGGGUAGUAUAAUACUGUUGGCUGUCCAACCCCUCAGAGUCAUAAAAAACACCAUCUCUGAGGAAAU